rnacentral:misc_RNA from 1 species
GAUGAAGAACGUAGCGAAAUGCGAUAAGUAGUGUGAAUUGCAGAAUUCAGUGAAUCAUCGAAUCUUUGAACGCACAUUGCGCCCCUUGGUAUUCCAUGGGGCAUGCCUGUUCGAGCGUCAUUUGUACCCUCAAGCCUAGCUUGGUGUUGGGUGUUUGUCUUGUGCUCUUGCGCGUAGACUCGCCUUAAAACAAUUGGCAGCCGGCACGUUGGCCUGGAGCGCAGCACAUUUUGCGCCCCUUGCCCUGAUUGCUGGCACCCAUCAAGACCAUUUCUUUGCUCUUGACCUCGGAUCAGGUAGGGAUACCCGCUGAACUUAAGCAUAUCAAUAAGCGGGAGGA